rnacentral:tRNA from 1 species
GCGGGGUUAGCUCAACGGUAGAGCAGCUGGCUCAUAACCGGUAGGUUGUAGGUUCGAAUCCUACACUCCGCACCA